rnacentral:rRNA from 1 species
AAAUUGAAGAGUUUGAUCAUGGCUCAGAUUGAACGCUGGCGGCAGGCCUAACACAUGCAAGUCGAACGGUAACAGGAAGCAGCUUACUGCUUCGCUGACGAGUGGCGGACGGGUGAGUAAUGUCUGGGAAACUGCCUGAUGGAGGGGGAUAACUACUGGAAACGGUAGCUAAUACCGCAUAACGUCGCAAGACCAAA